GAGUCUCUCACAGAAGCCCCAGCCCUCAGGGUUGAAGUUGGAGAUGGAGUUGUUCGAGAGGUAGAGCUGCAGGAGUGACUCCAGACCGUACAGAGAGCCGCUGUUCACCUCCCGCAGACUGUUAAAGUCCAGGACCCUCAUUCGUGCCAGACCCCAGAACGCUCCAUCCGUCAGCUUGCUAAUGUUGUUUCUCUGGAGCUUGAGAACCUCUAAACUGCUCAAACCCUGGAAGCUACGAAAUCGGACAUCAGAAGACUACAAAGGACAGUUCAGACUGCUGAGCGGAUUAUUGGUUGCCCCCCUGCCCUCCCUUCAAGAACUGUACACUUCCAGAGCAAGUAAAAGGGCUGGACCCCACUCACCCAGCCCACUACCUUUUUGAACUGUUGCCUUCUGGCCGGCGCUACAGAGCGCCAGAACCUUCAGGCACAUGAACUGCCCCAUUGAGCAAUAAUUAUGUGCAAUA